CUCAGCUUCUUACAAACAGAGAAACCCUGGGGCUCUAACCCAAUAUCUGUUUGCCUGGGACUCUAACUCAGCUCCUGGAGUAUAGUCAGAAUCUUAGGAAUCAAAGUCUGCCUGUACCAGCUUCAACAGUCUGUGGAGCGUUGGUUCAGGAGUCAGGUUCUCCAAUGGAUCCCGGAUCAAUCAGUCAGGGGUGAAGACAAAGACUUCAAAGGUGUGCUCUGGGGUCCUGGGUGAGCUUUCCAGUGACACGUGAGACGAGUUCAUGAAUAGACAGAAAAGAAGAAGGACAAGCGCUGCCCAGGCCUUCCAAUGUGGGUUCUGCCUGAGGAGUCCUGUGGUAUUGAAAUAGAAUUUACGAUCGAGACUUGUCCAGAGCAAGACAUUUGCUUGGGGAACUUCUGGUCAGAAUGAUGUUUAGGAAACUGGGGGAAUUUGGACAAAGAAACAGACAUGCACACAAGGAAAACUCCAUGUGAAGAAGAAGGCAGAGAUCAGGGUGAUGCAUCUACAAACUUAGGAAGGCCAAGGAUUACCAACAAACCACCAAAAGCUGGAAGAAAGCUAUGGAACAAACUCUUCCUCAGAAGGAACCAGCCCUGCUGACAUCCUGAUCUCAGACUUCUGGCCUCCAGAUCUGCA